rnacentral:rRNA from 1 species
AUUGAACGCUGGCGGCAGGCCUAACACAUGCAAGUCGAACGAGUGGCGGACGGGUGUGUAAUGUCUGGGAAACUGCCUGAUGGAGGGGGCUAACUACUGUAAACGGUAGCUAAUACCGCAUACCAUCGGAUGUGCCCAGAUGGGAUUAGCUAGUAGGUGGGGUAACGGCUCACCAAGGCGACGAUCCCUAGCUGGUCUGAGAGGAUGACCAGCCACACUGGAACUGAGACACGGUCCAGACUCCUACGGGAGGCAGCAGUGGGGAAUAUUGGAGAAUGGGCGAAAGCCUGAGCAAGCCAUGCCGCGUGUGCGAAGAAGGCCUUCGGGUUGUAAAGCACUUUUGGCAGGGAAGCGGUACCUGAAGAAUAAGCAACGGCUAACUACGUGCCAGCAGCCGCGGUAAUUA